UAUGGCGAAAAAAAGUUCCCUGGAACCUAACCCCCACAUUAUUACAUUAAUUCUUAUGGGGAAAUUGGAUUCGCUUAACAUCGUUUCGCUUAAAGUAGGAUUUUUCAGGAACAUAACCACAACGCUAAGUGAGAAGUUACUGUAUAAUCUUGCCAAGUUCGGGGGCGAAAGGGGAAUCUUCAGGAAGCAAUUAAAGCAAGCACUCACAGUCUCUCUGAGAGUUGCGUGGUGACAAGGGACAGGUCUAGUAGAUUUUGCUGAGGGAUGCUUGUUGCUUAGGACACUGGGUGCUGGGAGAAAGAUUGAGGCUAACGUAUCCACAGGGAAAGAAAAAUCUCCCAGUGGCCUGGGUGCCUUUGGAAGUUGGAGGAACAUUUCAGAGGAAGCAGGCUGCAGUUGUCAAGGCAUUGCCCCAAUCUGUGUUAAUUAUGACAAAUCAGAGCCCUUUUCCUUUAAGGAAGGAGAGAAAUGCCUGGAGAACCAAACGGCUAGAGAGUGAGGGACCAGGGGAGAUGCCAAGAAGCCAAAGUAGGAGCUAGAGAAAGAAGGAACAGGACAGACUAGGCAGAAACAGAUGUUGGGGUUAUCCUUGCCACUGGAAUGCACCUUUUGUGGUAAUGGGACAGGAAGCUGCCUAUGACAUUGUAAAUAAAGUACACUGUGAUGAACCUACCAAAGAGUAUUAUAUGAGGACUGCUUGCAAAGAGAAAUCCAGGUGACCAAGCCCACCCUUUAACAGCUCUGGUCCUGCAAAGACUCACACACGCUUGAUUUUACAAUCAAGUAGUCUCAUGAAAAUCAAGCGUUUGAGGAAGACUGCAGAAUUGGGUCCUACUGGAGCUAGUCAGGACACUUAUGCUGAAAUGACAUUUUGGUAAAAUACUCUUGUUAAAGCCAAAACAUUUGGUGAUGUGAUAGUUUCCACAAAAUCCUCAUCAGGAAGGUUUUUGAGAGAGACAGACAGACAGAGUUACUCUACAGCCAGGUGGUUAAGGUUCUGACCUGUGCUGUGGGAGACCUAUAUUCAAGUCAUUGAUCUGCCUGAUUUAGAGUGAUCUGGAAUGGAAAAACUACUCUGAAUCAGGGAGAGCAGGGACUUGACCUUGAGUCUGCAACAUGCCGGUCAGUAGCGCUAAGGGAACAAAAUCACCUUUUGAAACCUUGAGUAUUUUUGCAAAACAGAAUUGUCAUUUUCUGACAAAUGACUCUGUCCUCUGUUGGUGAUUGUGAUGUUUUUCCAUAGACAAAGGGAAAACAUUUACCUUGUGUCUGGAUAGCCUUUAUUGUAGAUGAAAGGCAAUAACAAAGAACGUAGAAAUGUAAAAUCUUCACAAAGGAAGAGAGCACAGUGUGGCUUUGUCUGCACUGGACUUUUGUCAGCAAAAUGUUUGUCAUUCAGGGGUGUGAAAAAAACACUUACACCCCCGAACGACAAAAGUUUUACCAACAAAAAGUGCCGGUGUGAACAGCGCUUUGUCGGCAGGAGAGCUCUCCCACAGCUGUGUCGCUAAAAGGUGCGUAGUGUAGACAUAGCCUUGAUGUGUGUCUCACUCUGUAACAGCAGUGUUGAACUACUAAUACAAGUUAGUGUUUACUUUCUUCUUAAUGGUGCAGUAGUUAUCCCUGUAUACAGCACAGUACUCUUCCAAGUUUCUACCAAAAAUAGUGUCUCUAAAAAUAAAAAUUAUUCAAAUCCUAAUGUGCAUAUCAAAUGUUGCAACAGAGAGCAGAGUAGAUGUUUCCGCUAUACAAUUAGAAACUAACUAGCAACACUCUGACAGGUUUCAGAGUAGCAGCCCUAUUAGUCUGUAUUCGCAAAAAGAAAAGGAGUACUUGUGGCACCUUAGAGACUAACGAAUUUAUUUGAGCAUAAGCUUUCGUGAGCUACAGCUCACUUCAUCGGAUGCAUUCAGUGCUUUUAGGUCAGUGCAAAACAAAGCUCAUAGCCUGCAUCUACACUAGAAAACCUUGUAGCUGCAAACACUAGCCAGCCCUGCCAGCAAGAACAGUAGACGUACUGAGCAGCAAAAAGGUAGUGUGGCCUACUAGAUAGGACACUGGACUCACUUAAUUCUCCUCCCAUGUAUGACUCCAGAGAUGCUGAGUAGGGCUAGAUGUUAAGAUAAAAAAUGGCUGAGUCUUAUCUACACUAUAACAUCUGUCAUUGCUGCUAAUGGUGGAGCAAUAUGAAGCGGGAAUUAUGGCUACAAAGUUUGCUAUGAUAGACAAGGCUAUGUGCAGCAUAAAAGAUCUUACUAUCUCCAGUGAAGGAAAGUGUGUCCACACCUGUCUUUUGCUAUGAUUCUGCAGUCUCCAGAAAGUGGAAAGGUAUCCAGCAGAUCUCUCUGUCUUACUCCUGCUGUCCUGCUGCCUACAGAGGAGGGACUCUAACCAACACCAACUUCCUCAUUAGUAUAAACUGAUCCCCUGCAGCUGUUGGGAACAAAUCCUCCUCUCCUGGGCACAGCUGCCCCAGUAGCCAGCUGCAUUGCAGGGGAGUGUGCUUUGCCCUAGUCUGAAGCAUUGCCAAUAAUACAUAUACCUUCCAGCCAAGGAUCAUGGAGAGUUUAACAAACAUUGUGAAUUUAUCCUCACAGUCCCCCAGUGCAAGAUAGACCAGUGUUACAGACUCCAUCUGACAUAUAAGGAAGGUGAGACAUAGAGAAGCAACUUGCACAGCAUCGCACAUUGUCAGAGACUGGGACAUGGGCAGUCAUGCCUCGUGGUUGGAGCAGGAAUUGGUAGCCAAGAACGGUAGUAAUUAGCUCUGACCCCUUGAAGCAGUGAAUGCCACAGGAUGGCUAUACCCUUUGUGAAGUAUUUCCCUUGGUUGGUUCUAAAUUCGUGGAGAGUUAACUUAAUGGAGUGUCCCCGGGUUCUCAUAUUAUCAGACAUCAUCCACGGGAUGCACUGGUUGACUGACGGUUAAUGGAAUACAGAAUCAUUCACCUCUAGGUUAUUGUUUCAUAUCCAACCUAGGUCAGUGGAGACUAAAAGUUCUUGCCAGGUGCUGGCUGUUCAGUGGCCUUUGUGAAACGAGUUCGGAGAAGGGGGGGGUUCGGUCUCAGUCCAACUGCAAUGUAAACAAAUAUUCACAUAGUGAAAGUCACCGCCACAACUGGAUUAAUUAGCUGCCUCAGCAGAGAGGACUGACCGACUGGGAGUGAAGAAUGAGGAACCUCUCUCGCUUCUGGAAUUGGUCCCUCCAGGUCAGAGGAGAGGCACAUGGGUAAAGCUGCCUGAUGUCUUUAUUCUGUACAGAGAGGUUUCCGGAGUUGUAACAGAAAUAGGGCCAGGUCCUCAGCUGGUGCAACUCAGGAUAAAGUUACAGUAACAGAUGCUACAACACUGUCCCUGCCCAGGACCAUAUUCAGAUCAAGACUUGACCAGUUACAGCAAAGUCACACUCAGGCAAAUCAGCUUCCUGUCUCAAUGUUCCCAACUGCAAAUCUUGCCUAAUAAUAAAAAUACUGUGCCCGUACCUGGCCCUGUCUAGACUAUAUAAUUUUAAGGGGUGUUUUUAAAAUAAGGUAGCUGACAUGUGAAAUCACAGCAUAAGAUAGUGUAGUUUUUUUGUUUUUUUUAACCUCAAUGUAGUUUUGAGCCACCACUCCUCCAAGACAAUACAGCUCACAAAGUCCAGGCCUAAGCACUUGAGAGCUGGAGACAGCAUUCUCAGUGAAGGGGGUCUGGCUGUGGAACAAACUUCUGGAGAUCAGGUGAAUACAGUUUGACCAUACUGAGGGAAUGCUGUAAAACUUUCCUCUUUGCAAAAUCUUUUCCACUAUAAGCAGACAUUCACAAUACUGACACUCCCAUCUGUCCCUGAGCCCUAUCCCAACCAGCCAAAAACCAAAACCUGACCCCAAAGAUGAAGAAAAGCCAGAGACUUCAGGAAGUCGACUUGAGAAUUAGCUUUCGCUAUUGAUUUGAUGUGGAAAAGGUGAUGGGUGGCAAGAUAAAACCCACAGAUAGAUGUGGCUGGUUGAGGGACACCUCCCCGCCCCAACCUACCAUCCACAUCAAGGUAAAACGACAACUCGCCUUGUCUAAACCAGGAUUUUGCAGUAUGUUAGCUAUCUCACUGUAAAAAAUCCCCACUUUUUCCUGGUGUAAGCACAAGCCAUAGACCUGGUUCCCCAUGCUCUGCACCUAGUGCAGUCAUUUACUGCAUUGCAAAAUGCGGUGAAAUGCUACCAAAUCAGGAUGGAAUCUUUUUAACGCCCACCUUGUGCCAGUAUAAAUGUCUGGACAAGGUGCAGGGUAACAGAGAAUCAGGGCCUGCUGUGUCUGUAUCUGUAGAUCUCAAAGCACCUGACCCAGUUGAGUAUGUUUUACAGAUAACACAAGCAGCGUAGAUGUGAAGCUGUUUAUCUAAGAGGGGCUGUGGUUCUGUGGAUGCAGGUCGGACCUAUUACCUCAGAGAGCAGUGCUCUCUUCCCAGCUCUGCCACAAACUUCCUGUGUGACCUAGCACAAGCCACUUAUCCUUCCUGUGAAUGGGGAAGUACUGUUUGCACUAUGUUACCUUCCUCCCCCCACUUAGAAGCUUGACUAAAUACAUGUUGGACUGUGCAGAGAAAAAUGAAAGUAAAAAUAGCACCUUGUUAUUUAGCCAGACUGUUCCCCAUGUGGAGUGAGUCACAUCUGCUGACUUAAGCAGCAGAGCCUGAUCUGGGUCACUUUUUUCUUAUGUUUGUCUUGCAGACCCAAGGCAGAGAGUGAACUGGAGUCUGUUCUGACUCACAUGCUAUCCACAGAGUUGUUAACUAAUGUUCCUGCUGUAGAAUCAUUAUCACUGGUUGCCAGCACCCCAGGAAGACCCCAACUGCACUCCCGGACAAUGACAUGCAAGAUAACUGGAAAAAUGUAAACCUGGAAGCGGACAGAUCUAGAGUUAAGUGCAGCAGGAGGGUAAUACACAAACUCAGGAAACAAGAUGGUAAACAGCUUGGGGUCAGAAAGAGGUGAUGAGGAUAGGAUCAUCCAAUGGUCACAAGAUAGUUUCUAAACGUAAGCAGGCCUGACUGUUUGUCAUUCACAAUAAGGACUCUACACCACAUGUAGAGUAAAAGGAACUUUAAGUCUUAGAAUUGGAUCAGAUUCUCAGCUGCCAUAAAUCAGCAAAGCUUAAAUUAAGUCAGUGGAGCAACCCCUAUAUACACCAGCUGAGAAUCUGACCCUACUGAGUCAAGUUCAGGUCACUCCGAAAUAAUGGCCCUUUUGCCGUCUGAUUCUCACUGCAGUAGAAAGAGAGAGUCUGGAGCAUGGCGCCUGGUGCAAGGCCUGAAGCCUGAACCAAAGUCAGCAAAAGUUAUGCAAUGAGCAAAAGUCAGGCCCUGUCAAAAAAGCAGAUGC